CCUACGGGAGGCAGCAGUGGGGAAUAUUGGACAAUGGGGGCAACCCUGAUCCAGCAAUUCUGUGUGCACGAAGAAGGUUUUCGGAUUGUAAAGUGCUUUCAGCAGGGAAGAAGUAAGUGACGGUACCUGCAGAAGAAGCGACGGCUAAAUACGUGCCAGCAGCCGCGGUAAUACGUAUGUCGCGAGCGUUAUCCGGAAUUAUUGGGCAUAAAGGGCAUCUAGGCGGCCUGACAAGUCAGGGGUGAAAACCUGCGGCUCAACCGCAGGCCUGCCUUUGAAACUGUAAGGCUGGAGUACCGGAGAGGUGGACGGAACUGCACGAGUAGAGGUGAAAUUCGUAGAUAUGUGCAGGAAUGCCGAUGAUGAAGAUAGUCCACUGGACGGAAACUGACGCUGAAGUGCGAAAGCCGGGGGAGCGAACAGGAUUAGAUACCCUGGUAGUCCCGGCCGUAAACGAUGAUUACUGGGUGUGGGCAGGAAGACUGUCUGUGCCGAAACGAAUGCGAUAAGUAAUCCGCCUGGGGAGUACGGCCGCAAGGCUGAAACUCAAAGGAAUUGACGG
rnacentral:rRNA from 1 species